rnacentral:misc_RNA from 1 species
GAUGAAGAACGCAGCGAAAUGCGAUACGUAAUGUGAAUUGCAGAAUUCAGUGAAUCAUCGAAUCUUUGAACGCAUAUUGCGCUCUCUGGUAUUCCGGAGAGCAUGCUUGUUUGAGUAUCAGUAAACACCUCAACUUCCAUAUCUUUUUUUGAAAUGGGAGUUGGACUUGAGUGAUCCCAACGCUUUUCCUCACCGAAAAGUGGCGGGUUAUUUGAAAUGCAGGGGCAGCUGGACUUUUCUCUGAGCUAUAAGCAUAUCUAUUUAGUCUGCCUAAAAAACAGAUUAUUACCUUUGCUGCAGCUAACAUAAAGGAGAUUAGUUCUUGUGCUGACUGAUGCAGGAUUCACAAAGACAGCUUCGGCCGACUUUGUAAACUCGAUCUCAAAUCAAGUAAGACUACCCGCUGAACUUAAGCAUAUCAAUAAGCGGAGGA